UGGGGUUGACGGGAGCUCAUCUAACAGGCUGGAGACCCAGAACGAGUGGCAUCCCAGGAGCCUGUGAGGGGCUGGCAGAGACUUACUGGUUCCAGUAAAAGCCCCAUGUGGAUGCAGUAAUGCUGCCUGCUGGUCCUUGGCUGUAAUUACAAACAGAUGGCACCAAAAGCGAAGGAAGCUCCUGCUCCUCCUAAAGCCAAAGCCAAAGCGAAGGCUUUAAAGGCCAAUAAGGCAGUGUUGAAAGGUGUCCACAGCCACAUGCAAAAAGAAGAUCCACAUGUCACCCACCUUCAGGUGGCCCAAGACACUGUGACUCCAGAGGCAGCCCAGAUAUCCUCG
rnacentral:lncRNA from 1 species